rnacentral:rRNA from 1 species
CAGCCGCCACGGUAAUACGUAGGUGGCAAGCGUUGUCCGGAUUUAUUGGGUUUAAAGGGUGCGUAGGCGGCAUUUUAAGUCAGUGGUGAAAUACGGCAGCUCAACUGUCGAGGUGCCAUUGAUACUGGGAUGCUUGAGUACUGAUGAGGUAGGCGGAAUGGACGGUGUAGCGGUGAAAUGCUUAGAUAUCGUCCAGAACACCGAUAGUGAAGGCAGCUUACUAAGGAGUAACUGACGCUGAGGCACGAAAGUGUGGGGAUCAAACAGGAUUAGAUACCCCCGUAGUCCCUGUCUCUUAUAC